UACAACAGAUGAUCAAAGUGAUUUUAUCAAUAUCGAAUCUUGGCGAAUUUGCCAUCAUCUUGAGUGUUUAAUAGUUUAAUUUAACGUAAUCGAUUAACGUAAUUAAAUUCUAUUGCGUGUCUAAGCGAUUUUGUUCGAUUUGCGAUUUUCUAACGCUUGACUACGACGAUGAAGAGGCUGAGUUCCUCGUAAAUUACGUUAUUUCCGUGUGAAAAUCGGUUAUUCAAAUUAAGCGACUGCACGAUAACAAUACGACCGUUUCAAAGGAUUUUAUCGGAUUAUGUCAAAUACUAGAUGUAAGUUUGAGUUCGUUUAUUAAUGAUCGAGUUACGAGUCGUAUUGUUUUUCUAGUAAUUUGAAGCUCAUCGUUUACCGCAAGAAAAUAAACAGACUUUAUAU